UACGUAGGGAGCAAGCGUUGUCCGGAAUCAUUGGGCGUAAAGCGCGCGUAGGUGGCCCCAUAAGUCCGCUGUGAAAGUCAAAGGCUCAACCUUUGAAAGCCGGUGGAUACUGUGGGACUAGAGUACGGAAGAGGCGAGUGGAAUUCCUGGUGUAGCGGUGGAAUGCGCAGAUAUCAGGAGGAACACCGGUGGUGUAGACGGCUCACUGGACCGUAACUGACGCUGAGACACGAAAGCGUGGGUAGCAAACAGG
rnacentral:rRNA from 1 species